UACGUAGGGACCAAGCGUUGUUCGGAUUUACUGGGCGUAAAGGGCGCGUAGGCGGCAAUUCAAGUCAGCUGUGAAAUCUCCGAGCUUAACUCGGAACGGUCAGCUGAUACUGCUUUGCUAGAGUACAGAAGGGGCAAUCGGAAUUCUUGGUGUAGCGGUGAAAUGCGUAGAUAUCAAGAGGAACACCUGAGGUGAAGACGGGUUGCUGGGCUGAUACUGACGCUGAGGCGCGAAAGCUAGGGGUAGCAAACGGG
rnacentral:rRNA from 1 species